GUUCUCAUCAUAGUUGGAAAAAUGGUUCCGCCUCCGCCGCCUCACGAUCCUCAUCGCCGUGGGCCCCCCGGCCCUCCCGGUCCCCCAGGGCCACCAGGUCCUCCUCACCAUAGCGGUCCUGGUCCACAUCCACCUCCAGGCCCUGGGCCGCACCCCCCAGGCCCACCACGCCACUGAAAUCUUAUAAGGGGAGUUCACGUGCUGGUUCAAACGUGCAUCAGUUGGAAUCAGCGAACCAUCAAAUGUAAUUGCGGCGGAUAGAGGAAUUGCAAAGGGAAUUUUUAUGUGCACACGACCAAUAAAAUGCGCAAAAAAAUUA